rnacentral:tRNA from 1 species
GAGGGCAUAGCUCCAUGGUAGAGUGCCUGCUUAGCAUGCAUGAGGUCCUGGGUUCAAUCCCCCAUACCUCCA